rnacentral:rRNA from 1 species
CUGCCUGGUAGUGGGGAAUAACCAGUCGAAAGAUUGGCUAAUGCCGCAUACGACCCAUUUUCGUAUUGGAUUUGGGUGAAAGCGGGGGAUCGUAAGACCUCGCGCUAACAGAUGAGCCGAAGUCGGAUUAGCUUGUUGGUGAGGUAACGGCUCACCAAGGCGACAAUCCGUAGCUGGUCUGAGAGGACGACCAGCCACACUGGGACUGAGACACGGCCCAG